UUAAUAGAAGCCAAAGAGAGGCUUAUUAUUGUUAAUAAUAUAAAUGAGUAAUCCUAUUGUU
rnacentral:tRNA from 1 species